GUCCACGCCGUAAACGAUGGGUGCUAGGUGUCGCGGGCUUUGACCCCUGCGGUGCCGUAGCUAACGCAUUAAGCACCCCGCCUGGGGAGUACGGCCGCAAGGCUAAAACUCAAAGGAAUUGACGGGGGCCCGCACAAGCGGUGGAGCAUGUGGUUCAAUUCGACGCAACGCGCAGAACCUUACCUGGGCUAGAAAAUGCAGGAGCCUGGUUGAAAAAUCGGGGUGCUCUUCGGAGAACCUGUAGUUAGGUGCUGCAUGGCUGUCGU
rnacentral:rRNA from 1 species